rnacentral:lncRNA from 1 species
GCCUAAGCAACUUAAAGCUGGUUGGUGUACUGUAUGUGAAACAUUAGCACACACGGACACCAAAGCAUGCUGCACUGUAAAACAUAAUUUAUUAUGCUUUCAUCUACACAAACACCUUGUUACUAUGACCGAUUUUCCUUGUAGAAAUGCUAUUUACAAUCAGUAUGAAGUCCAAAGAAUUUCACAAAGAAGAAGAAGAAGUGCC